rnacentral:lncRNA from 1 species
GCAGUAGCUAUGCCUAGAGUAUAGACUAGCAAGCAAACAUGGAGCAAGACAGAAAAGUCAGAAAAUGCAAUAUAAUACAUAAACUAAUUCAAUGGUAAGAACAUUUGGGAGUAGUUUGAACCAGCCUCAAAUGAAAUAAAUUACGUUUAAUUAAAUAUUUGUGGAUAGGUGCAGUGAAAUGUGUUGUUUUACAGAUAGGUGCAGUGAAAUGUGUUGUUUUACAGAUAGGUGCAGUGAAAUGUGUUUUACAGAUAGGUGCAGUGAAAUGUGUUGUUUUACAGAUAGGUGCAGUGAAAUGUGUUGUAUUACAGAGAGGUGCAGUGAAAUGUGUUGUUUUACAAAUAGGUGCAGUGAAAUGUGUUGUUUUACAGAUAGGUGCAGUGAAAUGUGUUGUUUUACAGAUAGGUGCAGUGAAAUGUGUUGUAUUACAGAUAGGUGCAGUGAAAUGUGUUGUUUUACAGAUAGGUGCAGUGAAAUGUGUUGUAUUACAGAUAGGUGCAGUGAAAUGUGUUGUAUUACAGAUAGGUGCAGUGAAAUGUGUUGUUUUACAGAUAGGUGCAGUGAAAUGUGUUGUUUUACAGGGUCAGCCAUUGUAGUACAGCACCCCUGGAUCAAUUUAAGGUUAAGUGCCUUGCUCAAGUACACAUCGACACAUUUUUCACCUUGUCGGCUCGGAUAUUCGAACCAGCCACCUUUUGGUUACUGGCUUAACGCUCUGCUACCUUCUGCCCUGAAGAAUGUCACAACUCUGAUAUGCUUCCACUGAUUUAUUGAAAUGCACAAACAGCAAAAGUUUAGAUCCCCCAUUGGGAUCUUUCGCGGUUCCUCAGCUCAUCGACAUUUUGUGAUGCCUAACUGCCCUUUUAUGGAUUGAAGUGAAUUUGUUUUAGGUGAGAUAUUUUCCAGAAUAUCAUAAGUAACAUCACAGUACACAUAUUUUCUAUUAGAGAUCCCAUUUGAAAUUCCGAUGUAACAGUUGGGGCAAGUUAAUGACAGCACUGCUUCUUUUAAAACAAUACCUUAAGCUAAACACAAACAUUAGUAACCAUAUUCACAGUACAUUCUUGGGCUAGUCAUAGCAGGGGAUUAAUCAGAGAAAACAUUUCAUUCAAAAUAAAAAAUAAAUAAAAAAGAAUGUCAACAUAACAAUAAGCUGUGAUCUGAUUAUUCAAAAUGCCAGAAGUGUCCAUUAACACUGAAGAACUAAACAAACCAGGCCAUGGUGAAUUGGUGAACCAUUCUGUAACAUAACAGUGAAAAACAUCGACAUAAACGAUAGACUGGAUAAUCCAUCAAUACUAGACUGCAUGAUCUCUCAUUCUACUUCAGAGGCAACUGAUACCAAGAGGUGUUUGAAUCUAGUAGGAUAUCUCUAUGCUAUAUUACGUCAUAUUUAAACUCAGUUUUACACAGAUGCCCCAUUGGAAGACCCACCAGGCUUAUGUGAGUAAGACAUAUAUGGUAUCAAAUAGUCCUAAUAAUAUAAGGCCAAGACGGACUGGCCAUGGGGACCCUCUUUGACAAGGGCUGCAAACCACUAAUAUAGACACUGAUAGUGCAGAUUGUGGAUACAUAAGGAUAUAUCUAGAUACAUGAGGACUGUCACUGUACACACAUCCACAGCUACAGGUGAGAGAGGAUGGUGUCUCAUUUCACAUGGUCUCCGCUCCAACUAGUUCGGUUCAUUUUUUCAGGGACAUCUUGCGAAGACCCUUCAUCCGAUACAGCAAGCCGUCGAUGAAGUCCUGCCAGGAAACAGUGGAGAAGAUGUGAGUGAGAGGUGGUUAUACUGUGUACAGGUUAAACAGUCAAUACGUGCAUGCACAACACAGUUUUAGGUGUGUUCAUGGAAACUUAGUGGAAGUAUAUCUCACUUGUUGUGGUUGUAAGAGCCAUUUUGAUAGGGUGUAUGUUUGGGUUUGUUUUGGGCUGUCACUUCUCACCACUAGAGAGCAGUCUCACUGGGGUAAGGGGUUGUGUGGUGGGGUCAGGUCCUGGGGUCGUGUGUAUGAGGGCCCAGGUAAACAAGUAGCAGUCAUGCAUGGGUCAAAGGAAGAGUCACCGUUUUUUACCGCACCUCACAAGAUAAUAAUCAAUCAUUUAGGGGCUGCUUAUAUUUGUCCUUUUACACACUUGUACAAGUGUCAGUGUGUCAUGGAAAUGUGUUUCUUGCAUAUCCCAACUCUCCCUGAGACACCCACAGGGAGUGGGGUCAGGGCCAGGGUCACCAUUGUCCAGCGCCCCUGGAGCAGUUGGGUUUUCACCUUGUCGGCUCUGGAAUUCAAACCACCAACCUUUAGGUUACUGGUCCAACGCUCUAACCUCGAGGCUAUCUGUCUCCCGUUAGAAAGAUUGCC